rnacentral:lncRNA from 1 species
CGCCUCCCCCCUGCGGCGGCCCCGAGGACGUGGCCCUGGCGCCCUGCACCGCCGCCGCCGCCUGCGAAGCGGGCCCCUCCCCGGUCUACGUCAAGGUCAAGAGCGCGGAGCCGGCUGACUGCGCCGAGGGGCCGGUGCAGUGCAAGAACGGCCUCUUGGUCUCCAGCCCACACUGUGAAGAGCCUUGUGCCCACAGCUGUGCACAUCCUGGGCUUCCUCCACACCUUGUCCAUAAACUGCCCCUCAGCUACCUUCAGACCCAGGAUACAGACGCAGCCUCCAGAAGAAUAAAUGCUCCAUUAGCAGCUGGCUGGAGCUGGCUGAGGCUCUGGCUGGUGACUCUGGCCUCUGGUGUAGACUUCCCUCAGGUGAGUGCAUGGAUGAGAGCUCUACCUUCUCCUGACUGCCCAGGCCUCAGGACAACAGGAGAACAGAUGCAAAAACUAUUGCUCAAGGAAAAUAAAGUGAAAACGAGGAAAAGCAAAAGAAGAUCUGGAGAGGGCUCUCACCUGACCACAAGCAUCCUGGAGCAAUGAGUUUCAGGCAGGAAGACUCAUCCUGAGCUGAGCUGCUUUUCUUGAAGUUGUGCAAGAACGUCCUGUUGGCUGGGGCAAAUUCAGUAUUUCUUUUCCUGGCCACUGUGCUGGAGCGUGAGGAAAGACUCUCCACCCUCACUCCCAGAUCCUGCAGGAGGCGUGAGAGCGGAUGGAGAUGGUGAGGAUGUCUAUUAAUAUGGUGUUUCCUGCAAAACGGUGCCCAUCUCAACCAUGGGUUGUCAACCAUCCUCGGUGUCUACAACUGCAAUUUACCUUUGAGGACCCACUCUGUCAGCAUGGACAUCCUUUUUCUUUUUCCCUGGUAAGGACAUCAGAAAGAAAGUUACCCCUCCAGUGUUUGGAGUCUUGGAAUCCUUGGCCUGCCUGCAGGCCUCUGAAUCCUCAGUGUGUUAGCCCAAGGUCACCUUAGGUAAAGGAACAUUUCUCCUGGUCUUCCAACACCCUGGAAAGGGAGGCUCUUCAAGAAUAGGAAAUUCUUCCUAGUAUCUAACCUUGGCCUGCAACUAUGCCAUACAUUUAAUUGUAGAAGGUAUGGAAAGUUAGGACUGUGGUGGACCCAGUUAAAUCACUGGACAGAAGCCAUGAGGCAGAGCCAGAACCAGCUUCUGGACUCCCUGCAUGGAGCUUUCUACUAUCCCAGGUUGUUGGGUCCCUUCUCAGUGGCCAAAGAUGCUAUUUUAUGAGCCUUGAGGACAUGACACUAAGUGAAAAAAGCCUGGCCAAAGGGCCACAUAGUGUAUAGUUCUAUUUAUAUGAAAUGUCCAGGAAAGACAAAAGCAUAGAGGCAGAAAGCAGACUAGUGCUGUGGGAGGAAUGGGGGAUUUGGGAGGUGAUGGCUAAGGGGUUAUGGGGUUUUGGGGGAGGUAAUAGAAAUGUUUUAAAAUUGGUUGUGAAGGUGGAUGCCCAACUCUGCGAAUACACUAAAAGGCAUCGAAUUGUAUACUUUAAAUAGGUGAAUUGUAUGCUAUGUGAAUUAUAUCUCAAUAA